CUUAACACAUACAAGUCGCACGGAGGGGCAACCCCUCAGUGGCGGACGGGUGAGUAACGCGUAGGUAUCUAUCCAUGGGUGGGGGAUAACAGCGGGAAACUGCUGCUAAUACCGCAUGACACCUGAGGGUCAAAGGCGCAAGUCGCCUGUGGAGGAGCCUUCGUCCGAUUAGCUAGUUGGUGGGGUAAAGGCCUACCAAGGCGACGAUCGGUAGCUGGUCUGAGAGGAUGAUCAGCCACACUGGGACUGAGACACGGCCCAGACUCC
rnacentral:rRNA from 2 species